UGCCUCAGCACGGCCCGGACUGCAGCGCCCGGUGCGCUCGGUUCAAACACCCCGCAGCACCGGCGGAGCGGCGCUACAGUAUAAAAUGGGUCUCUCUGAACCACUAGAAUGUCUCCACCCCUCAAGGCUGCAGUGAGAUAUGUAUGAAGCGCUUCCAGCUCCUAAAGUCUGAGUGAGAGGCGGAGAUUCAGCCAGCAGGGAGGAGGAGGAGGGGUGAGAGUCUGCAGAGACUGAAUGAUGCCAAACAGGACUGACUCUGAAAAGUUGGGGCACUUCCAGACAGAGUGGCGUUUCCAUGGUGACCACUAUGGGAUGCCAAGCUGGUUGCCGGGAGAAGAAGAGGCGGAGGAAGAGGAGGAGGAGGAGGAAGAAGAGGUCGAGGCCAGUGGAUUUUUUUUCCAGCUUUUCCACAAUGAUUGAAGUGUGUGGGUGGGCUCUCUCUCUCUCUCUCUCUCUCUCUCUCUCUCUCUCUCUCUCUCUCUCAUGGCAGCAGUGUGAGUGUGGGGGUGGCUGUGUUAUUAUUAUUUGCUGUAUUAUUUGCAACAGAUUCUGCAGUGAACAGAAGAGAAAGUGUGAGAGUGCUGUUGGAGGUGAAGGAUUAUGGGGGGGAUUAUUUGUAUUUGGGAGCAUUUAUGGACAAAAAGCAAGCUGGGAAAAGACUCAGAUUCAGAUAGGAGGCCUGUGAUGUUCUCUGGCACAGCAACAUGUGGUUUUAGCUUAAGAGAAUUUAAAUGUAAAAACCACACCUGGAGAAUUCCAGAUACUUCUUGGUAACAAAGUUUUUAAUAGUUAAACUUGAGGCCAGAGCAACAGAAUCGCAGUUUUGGCAGCCUAAACAUGGUCCGAAACUCAUGAAACGUGGCACACAUGUAGCGGUGGUGAA